AAGUCGUAACAAGGUUUCCGUAGGUGAACCUGCGGAAGGAUCAUUAUACGUUUAUCCAACGUACCAACCAACGCGCUCUCGUUUAAACCGAGUCUGUCUGCGAGCUUUCUUAGGUCAUCCAAAAUAUGGUGGGAAUCGCAAGAUUCUGUUUGGGUGGUCGAUCACGAACUCGCGCACUGCAACCAUGUUUUAUAUUUAAUUUUAUUAAACGCAUUGUAAUCACUUGUACUAAUUACGAAAAACAUCUGGUGGCGUGCUUCCCUUUAAACCGGAAGCGCAAAACGAGGUGGAAUUAAGACAUUAAUUGCUGAACAACUCUUAGCAACGGAUAUCUUGGUUCUC
rnacentral:misc_RNA from 1 species